UUGGCCCGUCCCGUCCCGUGAAAACUCGUGCCCGUCCCGGAUCGUAACUACACAAGACGGGCGCGGGUUGUAUAAUUAGUGGCUUGUGAAGAAACGGGUUAACCCGUCCCGUCCCGUGCAACCCGCGGGUAACCCGGCUCGGUCCGCACCCACUGCCACUUAGGCUGCUGCGUGUCACACAAUGACACAGUUAUCUGUUACGUGUCAUGUAACAUGUUCGUUCCUCUUCAUAUAAAAGGAAAAAACCCUAGCUCGCCUUCCUCUUCUUUCUUCCUCUUUUUUUCUUCUUCCCUGACCCUGCUGCAGCGCUGCUGAGUCUCCUACUCUCCUGAGUAAACUUCACAGAUUCACAGAAGUGACAGAAAAAUUAUUAGAUUCAUCUAAAGAUCAAAGACAGUCUUGAAGAGAAAUACAAGAGCGGAUUGAUUUUCUGGGCUCGUGAAGAUCGGAGGAAUACAACAACGAAUUGAUUUUCUGGGUUCGUGAAGAGUGAAUUGAUUUUCUGUUCGAUUAAUAAUAUAUUGGAGUUCUAGUGAAAUCUUUAAAUUUUGGUUUGAGCAGUUUGGAUAAGUGGUUGUCCCCUAAAUCUGAUGUCAAGUGUACAAGAGCAAGAGUUACCAGAACCAGACC